rnacentral:sRNA from 17 species
GGAAACCGGUGAAAGUCCGGUGCGGUCGCGCCACUGUGAGUGUUGCUCGAGCGGGACGUGUUUCCGCUCGGAAACACGAGUCAGAC